GAUUCUGGCUACAGAACGAACGCUGGCGGCAGGUCUAGGCAUGCAAGUCGAACGGGUGUAGCAAUACAUCAGUGGCGCACGAGUGAGUAACGCGUGGGAAGCUACCCGAUCACUGGGGAAUAACGUUUGGAAACGAACGCUAAUACCGCAUACGCCCGAAAGGGAAGAUUUAUCGGUGAUGGAUGUGCCCGCGUUGGAUUAGCUUGUUGGUGGGGUAACGGCCUACCAAGGCGAUGAUCCAUGGCUGGUCUGAGAGGACCGAUCAGCCACGCUGGGACUGAGACACGGCCCAGACUCCUACGGGAGGCAGCAGCUAAGAAUAUUGGACAAUGGGGGAAACCCUGAUCCAGCCCAUGCCGCGUGAAUGAAGAAGGCCUUCGGGUUGUAAAGUUCUUUUAGUAGUGAAGAUGAUUGACAGUAGCUACAGAAAAAGCACCGGCUAACUUCGUGCCAGCAGCCGC
rnacentral:rRNA from 1 species